GGAAAAAAAAAAACAUACGGGGUCUACAUAGUGCGUUUUUGAAUUAUCUCCCCAUCAGACAGUGUUUAGAUGCUUUUCUGCUGAAUUUGUAAAAGAACGCAUGUUGGGUUAAACAGUAAAAGCAGAAACAUUUUGCAUUAACGCAACCUGGGAGUUCAUUGGAAAGCAGGACAACCAUAAACCUUUAUAAAUCACCCAGCCAACCCACACCUGGGAUGCAGGUGUAGUUGGAAAACUUGUGGUGUAACAACUGAAUGUGUAAACAGUUCCAUUAACAGCUAUUAUACUUUAUUUGCACUCCACAUUUUAUCUCUGCACAUUUUCAGCAACUAGGAAAUUGACUUAUAUAUAUAUAUAUAUAUAUAUAUAUAUAUAUAUAUAUAAAAACAGUAUGAAUGACCCAUCAGUGUCGAGGCGACCUGUUAAGUGCCACCUGAACAUCUUUUCUGGUUCUUUUCAGGGGCUUUACUUCCUUUAGCUUCUCAAGGUCACUCAUAUCACACAGUGCCAAACAGCAGAUGCAGGGGAUGCAGCAACCAGCACCUGAUCCAAGAGUCCAAUUUUAUUCAUUUAAUCAAUUGAUUAAAACAAUGCACAUUAGUCAGGACAGGAAAAUGUACUUUUUUUUACAUAUAUAAAAAAUGACAGGCGAACGUGGCAAAAUACAUCACUAAAGGUACAAAACUGUCAGUAAUGGUGUUAGUGUUUAAAACCGUCAGAAACAGUUUUGGCUGUUAUCUGAGUUUGUAAGGUUCUGUGGCGCCCUUACUCCCUAUAUCAGCUUUUGGCUUCGGGUAUCAGCCUCACAAACCUGUGCAUCAUUCGGCUCACAAAAGAAAUAGCUUGGUUUAUAUCUCUCCCAUAACCAUUUUCCAAGUGUCAUAUGUAUUUUUACAAUGAAGAGAAAUGCUUGAGGGUAGUGGAACUGCCCAAUGUUCUUGCUGGCCUCAGUGAAUAAUGGAAUUUACUGGAGAAAAUUGACUUUUUGCCUUGUUGGGCAGGAAAGCGCAUAAAUGUAAAUGGCCACAGCAAAUAGUGAAUUUGGGACUCUCACACAAGAAGUGGACAGAGUUACCCCAGGGAGCCACACGGAAGAGGGAUAUUAGUAAAACACACCGGGAAGUGAUUAACUCUAAACUCAGUCAACAAGGCUUUGAUUAAAACAGGUUUUGAAUAAUCCGUAAAUGUCACUCUUGAAAGCAUCAAGGUGAAGCAAAUGCUUCACAGCGAAAGUUACAGGUGAACGGGCCACAAAUGAAAACUGCUUUAUUUCUGCCAUGAUACAAAGAGGGGAAAAAAAUAUAUAUAUAUAUAAAUUUACAACACUGAUUUCUCAGAAUUCUUCCUCUAGAACCUCCAAUUGGUCCAGAAAACAAGUUCAUUUCUUAAAACAUUUUAGAUUUUCUUAUUUCCUGUCAGCAAAUUAAGCUAACCUGGCUGUUUUCUUUGACUGUUCAAGGUUUUAAGAUUUUAGCUCUUAAAGCCUGAAUCUUUCUUGUUUCUGUGAAAUGUUAAAACACUCCAGAUUUAAAAGUUUAUUUUUUUCCCUCCUUCAGUUAUUGUUGAAAUCUUUUCUCAUAGCACACCGUAGACAUUUUGGAAAUUAAAUGUUUGAACUGUAUUUUUUUAUCAAGUUAGAAUAAUAAAACAGCACUCUGGUGUUGACUCUGACGACACA